UACGAAGGGGGCUAGCGUUGCUCGGAAUUACUGGGCGUAAAGCGCACGUAGGCGGCUUGUUAAGUCGGGGGUGAAAUCCUGGAGCUCAACUCCAGAACUGCCCUCGAUACUGAUGAGCUCGAGUCCGGGAGAGGUGAGUGGAACUGCGAGUGUAGAGGUGAAAUUCGUAGAUAUUCGCAAGAACACCAGUGGCGAAGGCGGCUCACUGGCCCGGUACUGACGCUGAGGUGCGAAAGCGUGGGGAGCAAACAGG
rnacentral:rRNA from 1 species